GAAAUGCGAUACGUAAUGUGAAUUGCAGAAUUCAGUGAAUCAUCGAGUCUUUGAACGCACAUUGCGCCCCCUGGUAUUCCGGGGGGCAUGCCUGUCCGAGCGUCAUUGCUGCCCUCAAGCACGGCUUGUGUGUUGGGCCCCCGUCCCCCUCCAAGGGGACGGGCCCGAAAGGCAGCGGCGGCACCGUGUCCGGUCCUCGAGCGUAUGGGAAGCAACUUUUUUGUCACCCGCUCCUGUAGGUCCGGCCGGCGGCCUGCCCAACCCCAACCUUUUUUUCUAACCAGGUUGACCUCGGAUCAGGUAGGGAUACCCGCUGAACUUAA
rnacentral:misc_RNA from 1 species